CGUCAGUCCGCGCGUGAUAAGGAAAGGGAAGGAGGAAGGAGACCGGGAUGCGGCGGACGGGACGGGAGCUGGACUCUGUCUGGAAAGCUCCAGCUCUGAAUCCUUAGCCGAGUCACCCGUCCCUUUCAAAAGAUAAUGCAAGGACUUCAGAGACUGUCUUUGAGAUGCUCGUCCACUGUCUUCCCAGCAUUGGCCUCACUGGAGUAAAUCCCUU
rnacentral:lncRNA from 1 species